GAUGAACGCUGGCGGCGUGCCUAAUACAUGCAAGUCGAGCGAACGGACGAGAAGCUUGCUUCUCUGAUGUUAGCGGCGGACGGGUGAGUAACACGUGGAUCACCUACCUAUAAGACUGGGAUAACUUCGGGAAACCGUAGCUAAUACCGGAUAAUAUUUUGAACCGCAUGGUUCAAAAGUGAAAGACGGUCUUUCUGUCACUUAUCGAUGGAUCCGCGCUGCAUUAGCUAGUUGGUAAGGUAACGGCUUACCAAGGCAACGAUGCAUAGCCGACCUGAGAGGGGGAUCGGCCACACUGGAACUGAGACACGGUCAAGACUCCUACGGGAGGCAGCAGUAGGGAAUCUUCCGCAAUGGGCGAAAGCCUGACGGAGCAACGCCGCGUGAGUGAUGAAGGUCUUCGGAUCGUAAAACUCUGUUAUUAGGGAAGAACAUAUGUGUAAGUAACUGUGCACAUCUUGACGGUACCUAAUCAGAAAGCCACGGCUAACUACGUG
rnacentral:rRNA from 1 species